UGAGGAAUAUUGGUCAAUGGGCGCAAGCCUGAACCAGCCAUCCCGCGUGCAGGAUGACGGCCCUAUGGGUUGUAAACUGCUUUUAUACAGGAAGAAAAAUCUCUACGUGUAGGGACUUGCCGGUACUGUAUGAAUAAGCAUCGGCUAACUCCGUGCC
rnacentral:rRNA from 1 species